UCUCGCUCAUACCAAACUUUGCAGUCGAGACGAAAGUCCUGGGUCAGGUGCAUUUUUUAUAUUUAAUCUGCUCCUAAAGCUGCAGUGAAGUUAGCGAUUUUAUUUUUCUCGCUAUGGAGAUUUACUUGUUUGGGGCAUUGAGCAUCUUGACUCUUCUGCCAGUGCAAAGUCUGUAUGGUAUUACCUGGCCAACCUGUGAAGUUGAAUGCAAUAUUGACGAAUUUAGAAAUAUUUGGAUUCAAUGUAAUCAGACGUGCGAUGGAAAGCCAAACUUACCAGAUGGAACAGCCUGCUAUGUUGUAUGCCAGAAAUCAGGCAGUACAGCUACAAAAGAACCCCCGGAGAAUUGCCAGUUGUGCGGGUCAUGCACAAAUGGAACUUGCACUGUACGCCCCGAGUGUAAAGGCAUUGGACGUUGAAUGAACCAAAAACCGUCAAUAAAUUGUC
rnacentral:lncRNA from 1 species